UGGGGAAUAUUGCACAAUGGGCGCAAGCCUGAUGCAGCCAUGCCGCGUGUGUGAAGAAGGCCUUCGGGUUGUAAAGCACUUUCAGCGGGGAGGAAGGCGUUAAGGUUAAUAACCUUGGCGAUUGACGUUACCCGCAGAAGAAGCACCGGCUAACUCCGUGCCAGCAGCCGCGGCAAUACGGAGGGUGCAAGCGUUAAUCGGAAUUACUGGGCGUAAAGCGCACGCAGGCGGUCUGUCAAGUCGGAUGUGAAAUCCCCGGGCUCAACCUGGGAACUGCAUUCGAAACUGGCAGGCUAGAGUCUUGUAGAGGGGGGUAGAAUUCCAGGUGUAGCGGUGAAAUGCGUAGAGAUCUGGAGGAAUACCGGUGGCGAAGGCGGCCCCCUGGACAAAGACUGACGCUCAGGUGCGAAAGCGUGGGGAGCAAACAGGAUUAGAUACCCUGGUAGUCCACGCCGCAAACGAUGUCGAUUUGGAGGUUGUGCCCUUGAGGCGUGGCUUCCGGAGCUAACGCGUUAAAUCGACCGCCUGGGGAGUACGGCCGCAAGGUUA
rnacentral:rRNA from 1 species